CCGCCGUAUUUACUACGAAACAGCGUGGUGGUGCUGCAGCCGAGAGACUCAAACGACUCAAAACAGACUCCAAGUUUAAACUCCGUUCUUGAUCUGCGAGCUCCAGUGGCGAGAAGCAGUACUGCCUGCUGUGUUACUGUUAAGUGUGAACAGCCUGCUGUAGACUGCGGGAGACUCGGUUCAGAGCGGAUGUGGGCACAGCUUUCGUUGUGGAACAUCAACAUCUGCAUGCUCUGUGUUCCCUCAGCACGCCCACUGCAGCGAAGGAGGAGCCGAGACAGAAGGGGGAGGAAAAGUUUCCUGUCAGAGUGGCUGAGAAAGUGAAUCAGGUUAAGUUUGGCAGGCAGUCAGACCUGGGGGGGGGGCUUCAAUUUUAGACUUUUUCCGCUGUAACUUCUCUGGAAAUGUGACGCAUUUCAUUUUGUGGUCUGUGAAGUUGAUUUCUUGAUGGUAUCAUGCUCAUUCUUAGUACAUUUCUGUUUUGAAGAAGUUCAUCUCAGCUGUCUCCUAACAGCGUCCAAAGCUUAACAGUUGCUGCAUUUACUUGUCUGCAUGCGUCCUUUGCCUCUUUUUACGGGCAGUUUUUGGUUUGCUGAUGUUGUUUUGGAUAGAAAGCGACACCACGGUAGACAGGGUCAAAUAUAAACCCGAAGAGUAAACUUGUGGGUGUAUUUUACUUGGAAUUAUUGAGUUGCUUACACUAAACUGGCAAAGUUACAUGUUUAACAGAAACAGAACAGAGAGACGUGUUUUUCACAAGUCUUUUCCAUAUAAUGAAGACUGUCCAAAUAUGCAGUUUCCCAACGUUAAUUUGGAAAAUUUCCAAAUGCUGCCACCAGUUUCCAAAGAUUAUGUAAUUGUGAAAUUGUGCAACUAAUAAAGGCAUUAUUUUACUCUUUAAAGUUACACAAGAAAAUCAGCCCACAUGUGUUAGUUUGAUUGUUGUCGUCUGGCUGCCUCAGUUCACACAAGCUGUGUGUCAGCUACCUGUUACCACUGAAACUGAUUCGGUAGAUCUCAGGGAAAUUCUGUGAAAUUACCCAUCAUCUUAUCUGGCCCUCAAACAGAAUCAAAUAAUUAAAGUUGAGAAAUGAUCCCCGCAGUUUCACAAUUGCAUCGCUUUGUUUCUAACGUUUUUAGAGUGAGCAGGCCGUGUCAUCACGUAAAAACUCCACCUAUGUCCCAGUUUGUUCUGUUUUGCACGUGACGUAUCAGCUGCUGGUAAGUGUGUGGGUUUUAUAACAGCUGGACUCACAAGGCGCACUGUGGUUUUGUUGCAUUUGCAUGUCAGUUAAAAACAGAAAUACUCUGAGGAAAUACGAGUUUGUUUGUUUUUUACGUUUGAUAGCAUUCACCGCAACAUUUGAUUUAUAAUAAAAGCUUUAUCGCUGUUGGAGUGCCCUUUAAAACUAUUGUUGCUCAUGACCUCAAGCAGCGAUCAGACUGUUGAAGGGGAAAUGAGAAUUGUUUGUUUUCAGGUUGGGCUGUUAACCGCCCUGACAGUACAUGAAGCACGCUGACGUCAUCGUUUCCCAUCACAGCACCUAAACACAAACAAAUGUCAGCUGUGACUUACAGACCGCAGUGUUUUGGUGGUUAGAUUGCUUUGAAUACACAAUGUGCCGACCCCCGACGUAGGUUAGACGAAGAUAACGAUCGUAUGUGUUGACUCGGUGCCGAUGUUACAUAUAGAGAAGAAAAAAGAGGCAACACAAACACAAAGGGUAAAAGGAUAAUAGAGAACCAUAUAAUAACAUUCUGCAUUAUGUAUCAGUUAUUUUUGGCUAGUUAACGAGUGAGUGUGAGCGACGAAGAAGCUGCUUCCUGCAAAAUACUGUUGUGGUGAUACGCAUCAGUAAUGAAGUUGUUGACGUCAUUUUGGAGUUUCACCUUGAGUAAAAAGUUGCUCUUCUGGGAAGUCACUGUCAUGGUUCUUGUAAUAUCACAGAUGAUGUCGAUAUCAGCUGCUUUGGUAAAGCGGCUGAUCUCUUGUGUGUAUUUCUCAGAAAACAGUACUUUGCCAAACUAAACGGCUUGUUGGUGUUUCGUGAUGCUGCUCGAUGUCGGCCUGUGAGAAACAAAGACGAGUAGAAACGACGAGUCGGUGUGAGAAGAAGUUUCUUUAAGCGAAGAUUGCUGGCAUGUUUUCAGUGGAGCAGGAGGAGGAAGAGGAGGCAGAGCGCGGUUGGAUUGUGUCUUCCGAUGUGUCUACUACACAACUGGACUGGGAUCUCUGAGAUUUAACAUCUGCUCUGCAGGAAAGAACAUCUCGCUGAUGCUGAUUAUUCCAGCUCACAUCCUGUAGGGAUGCAGUUACAUGAGUUACACUUUAAAGUAGGGCUGGGCGAUAUAUCGAGUUUUAAAAAAAAUAUCGAUAUAUUUUCAUACGAGAUAUAAGAUGUGACAAUAUCGUUUAUAUCGAUAUAGUCUAUGUUACGUUAUAAUUAUACUUGUGGAGCCGCAGGUUUGCCUCUCUUUCGUCCACUUUUGUCUCUACGUAACGUUACUCGGCCUCGCCUCUCCUUCACUGAACACAACUCCCCCUCCCCCAUAGCUUCACCUGCAGGCAAUGACAAGAUGAAAGCGGAAAAUCUCCGUUAGCGAGUUACCGCGGAUCGCCCCGUGCGUGGGGCUGGACGGCGUCAACGUGUUAGCGAGUUAACCACGCUAACGACAUGCAGCCCGGAGGAGCUGCACGGCCUAAAAUCCUUUCAUUUUCUCAAAAAUCGACAGCGCGCCUUAUGUAUGAAUUCUGGUUGUGCUUACUGACCGCGAACCGAUUUUAUGUGAUACACAGCGCUCAGCAAUCUGUCAAAAAAUGUUUUAAUAUGACCGCUUGAUGGAUUGUCUGAGGAUUACGCCUACCGAGGAGGAGCCUCGCGGAGUGAUACGUACUGUGCUUCAACGUAAUAUUACCGUACUGUGUGUGUAUAAGGACCACAAAUGGCACCUGUUCAGAGACGUGGUGCAGCUGUGAAAUCUGUCUCUUUGUUAUUAUGCUCAGCGUCUAUUAGUUUACAUUUUGACUGCACAAUUGUGAGCUUUUUGUUAUGCACAAAAACAACAUUGUUUUCUUUUAUUUAUGGACCAUGAUUAUUUAAUAAAUGCUGAUAAUUUAUUUUUGAGUAAUUUCUUCAUGUACAUCUACGCUGUAUGUAAAUAAAAGUGCCCGUGUGACAUCUGGGACACAGUGUGACUAAGAACUCUCUUUUUGUUCUUAACUUAUGGCUUUAAAAAUAAAUAUCGAGAUAUAUAUCUUAUAUCGCCAUCCAGGUAAAAAAUAUCGAGAUAUGAAUUUUGGGUCAUAUCGCCCAGCCCUACUUUAAAACGUUCACGCCAAAUGAACUAUUGACUUGUUUAAGUUGCUGUCAUUUUCUGCUCCGUGGGUAGUUUUGGCUGUCAAUGAAACAUCUUGGUUUUGUUUGUUUAUUUGGUUUUUGUUUGUUUGUUUCUACACCUUAAAGUGGCAGCAUCACAAAAAAACCAUUUAUACUUGUGUUAAGGGUUUAUUUAUUGAUGUCUAAUUAAACUGCUGUUGCAAUAAUACUGGUGUGUUUUACUCGUUAAAAGGGGAACACAAAGUACAGCUUGGGCUAUUAAUAAACCUCAAUGCAGUGCAGCUUUCUGCUGCAUAUUUUUAGACACUGUAUUUGUUUGCUGUACUUCACAGCUGUGCAUUAUUGAUGCACAAUCUUUGUCUUUGCCUGAUUUCUAAGGUCACUACAGCUGUUGUAGGGUGUGUCUUGUUGUUUGAUAGGUAUGUCAGCUGUUGACAUUGCAAUGUUUUGGUGUUGCAAACUCCCCUGAGAGUCUACGUCAAGACAUGUCGGUGCAUUUCCCAGAGGUACGCUUUUUUUUUUUUUUUUUUUUUUUUUUUUAAGCAGCACAGUGUACCACUUUGCUCAAAUGGGGCUUUUUUUUUCUUCUGUGAAGAUGAGUUUGCAUCUUCACAUCCGGUGUGGUUCAUAUAAAAAAAGCGAAGUUAAAUCAAACUAAAUGAAGUGUUCUGUGAAAAACAAAGAACACGAGUUGGUAUUGUAAAGGGAGAACAGGAGAAAGUUAUUUAUGUCCUACAUUAAAAAAAUCAAGGGUAGAAAUGACUGAUGUCUUCUGGUAUGAGUAAUGUUUUGUCGUGUAUCUCAUAGAAAGAGCAGAUUUCAGUUGCCUGUGCGAUAUUUCACUCAUGCUUUAUGAUCAUCUUUGAGUGUGGGAACAGUUGUUACUUUCAAUCUGAUUGCUGAAAAAGCCGUGUUAGACGAAGCUUCUCAUCUGAGCUCUUUGCAUUUUUAUUCUUCAUCCAGUUGUUUACUGACUUUGUUGAAAGAGCGUAAUUAAUGCAGCAACUAUGGGCUUUUUCACAUUUGUUCAUAAGUGGUCGAACUCCGACCUCUAGUGGUGUCAAAGUUACCCACAUGCAACAUUUACAUGACGCAGUGAGAUACAGUGUAUGGAAUGCCAGGACUGCCAUAAUGAAUUAAUUAAAUACACCAUUAAAUAAUUAAUUAAAUGUGGCAAUAAUGAAUUUAUUAAAAUGCGAAAUAAUUAAAACGCUGAUCGAGUCAAAACCAUUGCUUUGGCCUGGUGGCCAUUGUUUCUAGCACACAACAACCAGCAUGUGGAAGCGAACAGAACUGAACUUUGAAAAACCGUUUGUGCGUCACCAAAUACCGUUUUAAUAUUUUUUAGCCGAGAAUGUAGUGGUUUAAUUUUCAUGUGUCUGGUCGGUUUGUCAAGAUACAGCCUCUUUGCAAAAGUGCUUCGAUGAUGUCGGAGAUGUCUGCCCAGUCUCACGGCAAAGCGUGGGAUAGACCUGCUCGCCUCGCAAGCAAUCGAGCUGUUAUUGCCACUGACAAAGCGCAGGCCUGGUACACAGCUGUAAUAACGCCCGCUGACUUCUUUUACUGAGGUUAUAUUUAUCAGGGAUUUAUUUCCCGAUGUUCUUAUGUGUCCUACGUGUUUCAGCCACCAAUUCUGAAUUAUAAACAUGUUUAAGGAGGAGAGAGAGCAAAUAAAUCUGUCUAACAUCUGA
ensembl:lncRNA